GCACGAUCACCGUUUUAAUAUUUAAGAUUCGUCCACAGAGAUUAAAAUAUUUUUCGCGAUCCUUUAAUUUCUAACCUAGGCGAAUUAGAACAAUUUUGAGUUGUGAAAAGUGAGUAUAUCUAAAAACUAAUUUCAAUCAUUAUAAGCUUUCAUCUAAUUAAUCUUACUUAACCAAAUUAAUUACCAAAAUUAAUCAAAAGAAUUAAUCACUAAGUGACGAGACAAGCUGCCAAACAAAAUAAAUGAACUACGGCUAAUGAAUGACACUGCAGCAAUAAAAAGAGAAUAUGGCCAAGAAAUUAAUCAUAAAACAAAACCAGGCAAAUAGACGUAACAAAGUGAUUCAAAUAUAUAAAAGAAACAAAAACAAAAACAAUUAAAGAAAACAUCGAAAAAAAAAACAACCAGCCUCGACUCAGUAGAGCAAUCAAAGAGGGGGACUCGGUAACUGCAAAUAGAAUAAAAACUCAGCCGGCAUAAUUCGAUAAACUCGGUAGAAAAUGAAAUCGACUCGGAAUGAACUCAGCAGCUACUCUACUCUAUUUAAACUGCAGCAAACCCAGCUCAAACUCGGCAAAUCGACUCAGUGCAGAUUGAAGCAAAAACG
rnacentral:lncRNA from 1 species